rnacentral:tRNA from 1 species
GCCUUCGUGGUGUAGUGGUCAGCACACUUGACACAUAACCGAGAAGUCCGUGGUUCGAUUCCCGGUGAAGACG